rnacentral:rRNA from 1 species
UACGUAGGGGGCAAGCGUUGUCCGGAAUUACUGGGCGUAAAGGGCAUGCAGGCUGUGCUGUAAGUCAGCUGUUAAAAGAUGCGGCUUAACCGUGUUUCGCAGUUGAAACUGCAGUACUGGAGUACCGAAGAGGCAAGUGGAAUUCCCAGUGUAGCGGUGAAAUGCGUAGAUAUUGGGAAGAACACCGGUGGCGAAGGCGACUUGCUGGUCGGUAACUGACGCUGAGAUGCGAAAGCCAGGGGAGCAAACGGG